rnacentral:rRNA from 1 species
CCUACGGGAGGCAGCAGUAAGGAAUAUUGGACAAUGCUCGCAAGAGUGAUCCAGCCAUGCCGCGUGCAGGAAGAAUGCCCUAUGGGUAGUAAACUGCUUUUGAACUAGAGAAAACCCCAGUACGUGUACUGGGCUGAUAGUAUAGUUAGAAUAAGCAUCGGCUAACUUCGUGCCAGCAGCCGCGGUAAGACGAAGGAUGCAAGCGUUAUCCGGAUUCAUUGGGUUUAAAGGGAGCGUAGGUGGACUGAUAAGUCAGUGGUGAAAUCUCCGAGCUUAACUCGGAAAUUGCCAUUGAUACUGUUGGUCUUGAGUACAGUUGCUGUGGGCGGAAUAUGACAUGUAGUGGUGAAAUCAUAGAGAUGUCAUAGAACACCGAUUGCGAAGGCAGCUCACAAAGCUGUAACUGACACUGAGGCUCGAAAGUGCGGGGAUCAAACAGGAUUAGAUACCCUGGUAGUCCGCACCGUAACGAUGAUAUCNCUNGUGGCGACUAGUG